GCACUGCUGACGAAUCUCAAGCAGGACGAAACAGCUGUCCAGUGC
rnacentral:hammerhead_ribozyme from 1 species